rnacentral:lncRNA from 12 species
AUAAAAGAGCCAGGAUUAUUACUCAAAGCUGUCUGACUGCAAAACUCACGUUCUUAUCCGGUAGAUUAUUCAGCCUGGAGGAUGCAAUUUGGGCUGGAAGGCAGGGGACCGGGAACCAAUAAUGCCAGCACAAGAAAAAUCCAUCUCAUCAUCUCAUAUAUUGUUCCUUCCAUGGAGAGAACUUGAGGAACCAGUGAAACAAGAAGAAAGAUCAUGGG